rnacentral:rRNA from 1 species
UACGUAGGGUGCGAGCGUUAAUCGGAAUUACUGGGCGUAAAGGGCGCGUAGGCGGAUAGUUUAGUCAGAGGUGAAAGCCCAGGGCUCAACCUUGGAACUGCCUUUGAUACUGGCUAUCUUGAGUUCGGGAGAGGUGAGUGGAAUGCCGAGUGUAGAGGUGAAAUUCGUAGAUAUUCGGCGGAACACCAGUGGCGAAGGCGACUCACUGGCCCGAUACUGACGCUGAGGCGCGAAAGCGUGGGGAGCAAACAGG